ACGGCUACCGAGGGAGCCUCCUGGAGGAUCCUGCGGGCGAUUCCAAAGGACACGCAGGGCAUCAUCAUUUCCAUGUGGGACUCGGAUGAUGGGCAUUAUCACUAGCAGAAAAGUGUCCCUCUAAUAACAUUGACUGCCUAGAAAGGCCGUGUCAUCUCCAGCAGGCGGCAGUUUUAAGAUUUUCCUCUUUUUAAUGUCUAAGAACCAUCUGUGGUCUUGCCAACAGUGAGGAAAUCUCUGUGGAGACUCAAAAGCCGCUUUCUUCAAGAGCAGCUUCUCUGCUGAAGGGUCUGUAGGUGCAAAAAUCCUGUCAGAAAUGGCAGGGCAGUCAAAACACAAGAAACAAAGCCUUUCUUUGAAAGACAAGCUUCUGUCUUGUGGUUGUUGGCAAACUCAGCCCUGAAGUGAUGGAAGAUAUGGGGGCUGGCAGAGAUACAGGGAGGAAAAAUAUGCCUUAGGAAAGUUAAGAUUUGUAUUGACUUUCUUUAGUGAGUUCAAUUAUUACAGCUCCCUUUUCAAAUUCAUGAUUCUAGGCAGCCAAGGAGAGUUGGAAGCACCAAGAGGCAGCCUGCAAUAAUAAAAAUAAUCCUGAGGAAACAAUCCUGAGGAAAAAAGGCAUCCCCCCAAAAAUCAAGUUCCAAAAUGGAGAGAGAGCUGAAACUUGUGGACCUUUAGGAAAUUUUCCCUCAAAACAAGGUGCCAUGAUGGAGAAAUGGUGAAUGGAAGAUUGAAAUCUCAUGUGUGGCUGGAGAAAAGGUGGAAUUGCAAAACUAGGAAAGUCAAAUGUUGAAAAGUAAACAUAAGGCUCAAAUACCAUGAGGCAAAAAAAAAAAAAGACAAAAAUAGUUUUAUUUAAGUGUUCAAUUGGGAAUACACUGUAGGAAAUAUGAGUAGGAACCUUAAGACCUUUGGAGUAAAAGAAGGUGUAUUUUUUCUAGCCAAAAGAAAUGAAGACUUCCCUAGUUUGAAGAGAUUAGACUGGAUCUGGAAGUGACAGUGCAAGAAGAACAAAAAGAUUUAUCUACAUUAAUGAAAUAAAGAAAUGGGGAAAUAGAGUUAAGAAGCAAUUUAAAAAUAAUGGCUGUAACUUCUCAUUUUUGCUCUGCUUCUUUCAGCCCAUUUCUUUAUAUAUCAAAACUCCUUUUAAGUACCACCUGUCUAAUUUUGUCAGUCUUCUAUUAUGAAAAAAUCGACAUGAUUACAAAAUCAAAAUUGAUGCCCUUUCACCUGUUUGAUCCAGAACCUUCAGUGAGCAAUAUGUAAAAGAAAACUUAAUCAUCCAGGCCAAAAGUAUCUAAAAAGUUUAAAUCAUGAUAACUGGACCAAAGUUUAUUAAAUUUGAUGUUUUGUUACUCAUCCAAGUAACUUCUACAGUCAAAAUGAAAAUUUUUAGUUAGGCAUAGUCAGAGAGUUGUUGGAAUGUACUAACUCUACCAUACUGAUUGCAGGAGCUUCCCCAAAAUAAAAUGCAAUACGCAAAUGAAGACUCAAUCAUCCAGGCCAAAAGUAUCUAAAAAGGCAUCAGUGAAUAAUGUUUGAAUAGUUUCAAAAUGUCCUGCUCCUCUGAGAGUCUGAAGUAUCCUCCCGCAUAAACCUUUCCAAAAGUUUUCAUGUGGUUUUAAUUUUUAGUUAGAACGAAACAAUAUUUAAUAAAGUCUCACGAAUAACCAUGCCAUUGCUAGGGCAAAAAUAUGCUUGAAAAUAUGUUUUUGAACAUGCAUUUGAUGGGCUUCCCCUCAUUCUGGCUUAUUUUGUGAGAGCAAUUCUUCAUCCUGAAGCUUUUUUCAUAUAGGAUGCAUUGAUAUAUGUAUAUGUGAUGUGUUUCUCAAAUAAUAGGCCUUUGACCAAAUAAAUUUCCUUGAUUUGGUAGUAUAAUGAUCUCCACAUCUGUUAUGUAUCUAAUUUUGGAGGGAAAAUUAAGCGGGGAAAAAGCUCGAUGAUUAUUGGCUAGCACCCUGGGUAAGAAGCUAUAUAAGAAGAGCUGUCCUACUGUACAUUUGCUGGAUUCUGUCUAUUAAAGAGUUGUUGUUCACUUCGACCUGGCUCCUGGCUCCUCACUUGCCCGAUCUAACAACAUCCAAGAGCUGCUUCUCCUUACCUCUGUCUGUCAGAAACUGAAGUUAUUUUCUGAAGUAAUUUUUCUUAAUUUCAUAUUUAUUAGAGCCUGUAGUACAGUGGACUAAACACUGUUAUUAACAUCUGUUGCUUGCAAUUACUGCAAGUUCAAAUCUCACCAGGCUCAAGGUUGACUCAGCCUUCCAUCCUUUCAAAGAUGUAUAAAAUGAAACCUUGGACUAUGAAGAAAAGUAGAUUGGAUGCCCUACUUGGCUCAGUUGACCUUUACCUGGCAGAAGCCAAACGAACUGAAGACUCCCAUGGUUUGAAGAGAUUACUGUGGAUUUGAAUGUGACACUGCAAGAACAACAAAGAGAUUUAUCUUCAUUAAUGAAAGAAAAAAACAGGGAAGUAGAGCUAAGAAGCUAUUUUAAAAGAAUAGAAUUAACACCUCUCUCUUGCCCAGAGCCUGGUUCUUUUGAGCCCAUUUUUUUCAGUCUUCUAUAAUGGAAAAAAUUGACAUAAUGGCUACAAAGCAAAAUUGGUGCCCUUUCACCAGUUUGAUCCAGAACCAUAACUGACCAGUAUUUAAAUAAAUAGCUUCAAACUA